GUGGAUGUGCGGCUGGAUAUCAGGGAACUGGCUGUAGACAAGAGUGUGUCUACGGGAUGUACGGAGAAGGAUGUCGCAAGUCCUGCGGCAACCGUCACUGUCAGACGCCAUCUAACCAAUGUGAUCACGUGACUGGAAAGUGUCCCGACGGCUGUGUCACUGGUUUCACUGGAGAUGACUGUUUACAAAACUGUCCAGAUGGCUGUUACGGAACUAACUGUUCCCUGAGAUGUGCAGGCAGGCAUUGUAACAGUUCCUCCUGCCCUGCUGAUGGGGCCUGUGGCGCUGCGUGUGAGGCGGGAUGCUGAUAUUCCCCAUUUAGUGUUUCUUGGGGAAAGUAUGGCAUCAGCUGUAACUGUAGUGUUGAGAUGUUGAGUUGAAUUUUGUCUGCUAUGUGAUAUUCCACACAGAGUGUCCCAGGGUAAAGUUUGGUACCAGCUGUAACUGUAGUGUUAAUAUGUUGAGAUGAAUCGUAUCUGCUAUGUGAUAUUCCACACAGAGUGCCCCAGGGGAAAGUAUGGCAUCAACUGUAACUUCAGUGUUGAUAUGUUGAGAUGAAUCGUAUCUGCUAUGUGAUAUUCCACACAGAGUGUCCCAGGGGAAAGUAUGGUGCCAACUGUAACUCUGUCUGUGGCCACUGUGCUGAUAACAUCACAUGUCACCACAUCACUGGAACCUGUCCAGAUGGAUGUCAGGCAGGGUGGAAACGCCCCUGUGUCAGACAGUUUGUGACGUUGGG